UACGUAGGGGGCAAGCGUUGUCCGGAUUUAUUGGGCGUAAAGAGCGUGUAGGCGGCCAGGCAGGUCCGCUGUGAAAACUCGAGGCUCAACCUCGAGAGGUCGGUGGAAACCGUCUGGCUAGAGUCCGGAAGAGGAGAGUGGAAUUCCCGGUGUAGCGGUGAAAUGCGUAGAUAUCGUCUGGAACGCCAAAGGUGAAGACAGUCUGCUGGGGAUCUGCUGACGCUGAGACACGAAAGCCAGGGGAGCGAACGGG
rnacentral:rRNA from 1 species